UGGGGAAUCUUCCGCAAUGAACGAAAGUCUGACGGAGCAACGCCGCGUGAGUGAAGAAGGUUUUCGGAUCGUAAAACUCUGUCUUUUGGGGCGAACGUGAGUAUGGUGAACAAUCAUAGUCAGUGACGGUACCAAAGGAGGAAGCCACGGCUAACUACGUGCCAGCAGCCGCGGUAAUACGUAGGUGGCAAGCGUUGUCCGGAAUUAUUGGGCGUAAAGAGCGCGUAGGCGGGAUAGUCAGUCUGUUGUAAAAGUGCGGGGCUCAACCCCGUGAUCGCAAUGGAAACAGCUAUUCUUGAGUGCAGGAGAGGAAAGUGGAAUUCCCAGUGUAGCGGUGAAAUGCGUAGAUAUUGGGAGGAACACCAGUGGCGAAGGCGACUUUCUGGACUGUGUCUGACGCUGAGGCGCGAAAGCCAGGGGAGCGAACGGGAUUAGAUACCCCGGUAGUCCUGGCCGUAAACGAUGGGUACUAGGUGUGGGAGGUAUCGACCCCUUCCGUGCCGGAGUUAACGCAAUAAGUACCCCGCCUGGGGAGUACGGUCGCAAGACUGAAACUCAAAUGAAUUGACGGGGUCAUAGCUGUUUCCU
rnacentral:rRNA from 1 species